UGUAAAUGGAUAAUCAUCGCCCAACUGCUCCCUCGGUGCUCCAAUCCAGGCCUCCUCUGGAUCCUCCAGGAAACUAGAAUUGAAUCGCCGGAGGACUGCUCCUUCUUCCUAGUGAGCCCCUCUCUUCGGAUGGCCUCUGAUCUCAACUACGUUAACACCACCUCUAGUAGCAGUGUAAGGGAUUCGUUCGAUAUCUAAGGAGAAGUAUUUUUUUCUUCUUCUUCAUCUAUUCAUCUGCUUCCUUCUUCGUUGAAUUAUAUUUGUUUUUUUUAUUUUUCUCUCUAUUAUUAAAUUACUAAUUCUCCUAUCUGGGUUUCUUGAUUUUCCUUUUUUGAAAAUUUUUAGGUUUUUUCAUGAAUGAUUGCUUAUUACAAAUUUAAUUAUAAAAUUUUGUGAGUUCUUUUUUUCCGUUGGAUUGAAUAACAGAAAAAGAAAAACCUUUCUGUUUUGGGCUUGUGGUUACUGCUUUGGAUUUUGAUUGUAACACUUUGUUGGUGAAUAUUCAUUAAAGAAAACAAAAAUCAGAUCUUUUUUAGCCAUGGAUUUUGCUAAGUCAGAUCAAAGAUUUCCUUCUUUUUUUCAUGCUCUGUUUCAUCGCCCAAAAAAUACUGUCUAAUUCACCGAAAUGUUCGCCUCUGUUUUCUUUUCCUUGUUUCUGUUUUUGAGAAAACAAGAGACAAACAUGGGAGAAGAAAAUCAAAAUAGAAGCAGAAAUAGAAGCAGCAGUAGCUGUAAUAGCAUAGCAAUGGAGAGCCUCUCUUUGGAAAUAAACAAAUACCUAAAAGAUGAAGAAGAAAAAAAAAAAAGAACAGAUGAAGAAAGCGACGUGGGAGAAUGGAAAAAAGUUGAAUUAGAAAUGAAGGACUUGAGAUUUGUGAAUCUCGUGCAUAGACUUCAAGUCUUUAAUGAUGCGACAAAAUAAUUUAAUUUUUAAAUUUUUAUUUAUGGGUUUUGCUGCAAAAUUGUGUUGUAAUAUCGAAUUUCUCUGGUUGACAACCGUGGACCUUCAAUGCAUGGGAUGCUAGUGGAAUCGACAUGGCUGAUGAGUGAUGAACACUGAAUCCGAAUGGUAAGGGAAUACAGGGAAUGGUCAGGAAAUUUCAUUAAUCCGGGAGUUUAUGACAAGACGGAUCUCCUUCAGGCUUACCAGCUAUCUAUUAAUACGAGGAAAGAUGGUUCUAGAAGCCACAUGGACCUAUGAGAGCGAGCCCAAUGACACUAAAAUUAUACCAUCUGAUUAUGGUGAGAUGGUACACAGUAUAAUAUAAUAAAAUGGCACGUAAUAGCUUUUUCUCCAUGGAUUGCACGAGACGAGUCAAUAGGCCCCGCAUCAUUGACGUUAGUGGCUCUAAAAGCGAAUCCACGGUUACCCACGAAACCAAAACCUAAUUUUGAUAACUUAUAGCCAUCACUUUCAAUUUGGAGCUUCGUUUUUCUGUCAUGGGUACGUCUACCAGAAGAAGAG
rnacentral:lncRNA from 1 species